CAGGAAUGUAUCAAAUAUGUAACGUGCUUCAUAGCAAUACGCCAGAUUCGAGAUACGAACUCUUCUGUGUAGGAGGUACAUUUAGUGGAACUUUGAAUGCCUAAGUGGGACAGGGUGGACCUAUAGUCAACGAGGAAGACAUUUAAAUGUCCUAAAAGCGGCUUCUCUUUGAAUAUGUAAAUGUUGGAAAUGCAAACUACUAUCGAAAGAAAUGUUUUACUAAAACGGAAACAUAAAAACAAUGUCAUAUUUACAAGUAAUAUCUUAGAUGUGGUACUUACGAGCAACGAAAUAACGUGAUAUGAUAAAAAUUAUAUGUAUUUAAUUACCCCCUAAAUACUUAUUACUUACUUAGUUCGUGUAUCAGUCGAAUUCGGGUAAUCAAACAGCUUUUGAGAAACUUACUGAGUACAUUCACUUACACAGUGAUGCGUAUUUGUCCCACUCCCUGUGUAAACAAAUUGUUUCGUGCCUCACUAUGUGCGAGAGUUCUCCAAAGGGAAAUAACUCGGAUAUAUCUUGAAACCGGCGUAUUGUUAGGCCCUUCUUUACACACUAAUUUUAGCUUCAUAUACCUCCAUUUACCUGAUCAAGAUAUAGGGUCCACGGCGGAUGUGACCGGUCGACAAGGGAUGCUUACUCCUCCUAGGUACCUGAUCCCACUUGAUCUCACCUCUGGUAUAUCCAAGGGUCUGUAUUUGUUUAUUUCUCUAUCUUGCUUUCCGUAUACGUGUGGUGAAAUUGAUCAAUAUUCGUUAUUUUUGCCUUUCAUUUGGUAGAAGAAAUAAACUCAAUUUUAAUCAGGCAACGGUUGAUCUUUUUUGAUGUGAAAAUGGAAGACAAUAUGUAUCAGUAGACCCAUUGAAUAAAAUGCCCUAUGAAAGCAUAAUCGAUGGUGGAUCUAUAGGGGGUAUGAUAAUUGCAAACCCCUUUUCAUUAAGGUUUUUAUUAUUAAGAUAUACCCCGUUCUCUUUGUAUUGUGUGGAUUGCCCCGUUAACCAGCACUUUACACUUUAUAUGGAAGCAAAUAGCGGAUGUUACAACAGGUCUGAUGGGAAACUGAUCAUAAUUAUAAUGUCCCUUACAGAACCUCUUAUCCAGUAGCUUGGUUUGAGUCUGUUUCUUUUUCAGUUUCAAUGCCUCAAUUUCCCGACAUUUUAAAGGGUCUUUUAUUGAGAAACAUACUUAAUCCCUGUCAUGAUUUCACAUUGCAGUUCAAAACAAUGUAUUGUACCAUAACUUCAGGGCUUUCAAUGUAGACACUGUAAAACAACAAUAAGCUUGUAAGAACUAAAAGGAAAAACAGAGUGCCAAAGAUUGGAGUCCAAUUCGUCUAAGGAUCAGAGCUAUGCAUGAAGGAGAUAAUCCUUCAUUUUGAAAUGAAUUUCUAAAUCUUAUUACAGCAAUUAAAUAUACAUCCAUAUUUUCAAGCUAGUAACGAAGUACGUAGCUACUGGGCUGUAGAGACCCUCUGGGAGACCCAGGGGUCGCAAUGCAAAACUUAUACGGUGCCAAUAUUUCUAAAAAUGUACAUGUAAUAGUGAUAACUCAUCGUGAAUUAGCAAACAAUUGUUUAGGCACACUCAGCUUUUAGUAUUUAUGUAAAAUAAGUUUCCAUUACCUUGCGUUGGACAUAUGAAAUUGAGUUUGAUUACAACAUUAACGUUGGUCAUCAGAAACUGAUACCCGGAGAUGCUCAUGAUUUGUAUCUUAGUUAGAUCGUUGGCGUCUAUCUUCAUUACGUUUUCCCUGCAGCUGGUCGGUGGGAAUGGUUCUCCUUGUUGUGGGUAAGAAAUGACGCUUGCAUAAUGGUCUUGACUUAUCAUUUAUAUUAUGUAAUGUUAAACGAUAUAUAAGUAAAGGGUUGCAUAUACUGAUGGAGACUAAUUAAUGAUAUACAGUAAUAUAUGUAUGUAAAUGUUCUAUUCCUAAGACAUUCUUGACUGCCAAUAGGACUAUAUGACACUAUAUCAUAGCUUUACGUCCAUUUUAUAUAUGUUUGCAGAUCCUUCAAAUAUUACAGUGGUAGUGGUUACAGAUGGGAUAUUGAUAUUGAAUACGUACAGUUGUAUGUUUGUGGAUGUCAAAAAGACAUUGUCAGUCCAUGUACGAUGAUAUUGUGGAUUUGAUAUCAUAAAAGUACCAAAACGUAUGAUGGUUGAAAUCCACAAACAUGUCAAUUUUGUCGGAAUUGUUUGAGGUAAAAAGUGAAGUUUCUUUCUUUCUUUGAAUUGUAGUCUGUGAGAUUAGGUAUUUUGGUCGGGAUGUCAGUUAUCCUACAACUGCUCUAAAGAGUAAUCAUGCAAAGGGAUGCUCCAAAAGUUGUAAGAAAGUGUAAUUAUAGAAAUAUAUCGAACUUGGAGACCACCUGGAAUGUUGCUCAAUGAUUAUCGUAAAAAGAUUUACUUGUUUAGGUUUCAGAUUGUACGUCAGGUUACAGUGUAUGUAGUUGACUUUUGUGAAGUUAAUACAUUUUUUCUCUAUCAUUCAUGUACUAAUUUGUAACUACUUCUAUAAAAUAAGCAAAUGAAUAUGCUUUACAACUUAUGAAAUAAAAUAAACAUUCAUUUAAAGGUAAAUAAAGAAAAAGUAUACAAUGCUGUGUUUAGGCAUUCCUGGAGGAUAUUGUCAUGGUAGGGUUAACAACACCUGCUCCACAAUCUAGAGUGACCCAUAAGAGUUCCAUAUUACCGAGACAUGAUGCUGAUGUCAACGGAAGAUUUCCUUCAUGAGAAACUUCACUUGUUCUAUCUACGAAUCCAGACAUGCAGAAAGGCCUAGUUCGAAGCCUAUCAACGUAACAGUACGCCAUGGUGCAAUAUGAAAUUAGAAGAGAAAAAGUCGUCCCGUCGUGGUUGUCAAGGAGAUGUGCCCCCAUACCAAGUUACAUUUAUACAAUAUAAACGAUUUUUUUUCAGGGUGCUCAGCAAAUCAAAUUGCGUGUUAUAUGUAAACUUAAAUUAUGAAAGACAGACUGAAUGCUAUAUUAUAUGUGUUUUGCCAAUUAAUAAACUGGACAUGUGUUGUGCCAAUAAAUAUAUCUUGAAUAAUC